rnacentral:rRNA from 1 species
UACGGGGGGGGCAAGCGUUGUUCGGAAUUACUGGGCGUAAAGGGCUCGUAGGCGGCCAACUAAGUCGGACGUGAAAUCCCCAGGCUCAACCUGGGAACUGCGUCCGAUACUGGAUGGCUUGAAUUCGGGAGAGGGAUGCGGAAUUCCAGGUGUAGAGGUGAAAUUCGUAGAUAUUCGCAAGAACACCAGUGGCGAAGGCGGCUCACUGGCCCGUUACUGACGCUGAGGCACGAAAGCGUGGGGAGCAAACAGG